AACGAACGCUGGCGGCAUGCCUAACACAUGCAAGUCGAACGAGACCUUCGGGUCUAGUGGCGCACGGGUGCGUAACGCGUGGGAACCUGCCCUUAGGUUCGGAAUAACUCCUCGAAAGGGGUGCUAAUACCGGAUAAUGUCUUCGGACCAAAGAUUUAUCGCCUUUGGAUGGGCCCGCGUUGGAUUAGCUAGUUGGUAGGGUAAAAGCCUACCAAGGCGACGAUCCAUAGUUGGUCUGAGAGGAUGAUCAGCCACACUGGGACUGAGACACGGUCCAGACUCCUACGGGAGGCAGCAGUGGGGAAUAUUGGACAAUGGGCGAAAGCCUGAUCCAGCAAUGCCGCGUGAGUGAUGAAGGCCUUAGGGUUGUAAAGCUCUUUUACCCGGGAUGCUAAUGACAGUACCGGGAGAAUAAGCUCCGGCUAACUCCGUG
rnacentral:rRNA from 1 species